rnacentral:lncRNA from 1 species
UCCAGCUCUGAAGGAGCCUGGAGACGCUCCCGCCCGGCUCCGGCCCGCCCUGCGCCCGGCCCCGGUGGUUCACAGCCGUUCACCCCGGCGCUGCUGCUGGACUUCCUACCGUGCGCGAUGCGCACACACAGCGCCCGCACACUGGGCACAUUUCCCGCGGGAGCCCGACCGGCAGCCACCAGCUGGUGCGUUAAGAGAGGCCUCCCUUCCUGACCAGGCCUGGGACCAGAGCAACGGGCGCAGGAACAACCGCCGCAGGCCGCGUCUCUGGAUCAUCUCACUUCCCUCACCACGUGCCGUGAAGAGCAUUGAAUAUUUUGUUCACCUCAGCUUCCAAAAUGCAGAAAGAAACCAUCUAAGUUAGAAAUGCUUGCUAUGCCUAAGAACUUGAUCGCAUUGCUAACUUGGAGCUGAAAGUAAGUGAUAUUUCAAAAGAUGCUAUCAAUGUUCUUUGCAGAACUGUCUCAGUGACAGGAAACUAACUGGCUUCCUUUAAAACACACACACACACUUCACACACCCAGACCCUCUUAGUUCAUUCUCCCUUGGUGAUUAUGCCUGUCCUCUCAGCCUGAGUAUCUGAGUUUAACUUUAUGAAGUGAACUGGGUUUACCCAGUGAAAACAGUCAGAUGAUCAGGAAAAUCCCCAAGAACAGCACCUCUCAAGGAACCUGAGUUGGGACAACGAGGUCCAGUGGACGCCGCCCUCACGGAGACCCCACUUUGUCUCUACUCUCGGAGACCCCACAUUCCUUUGCCACAAACUGCUUUACUUCUUUAGUCUUUCUUCCGUCAUUUCUCCACCACCUUUCAUCUCAAAGCGUAGCUCUUCCUGCUCUAAAAACAGUUCUUAAGAGUACUCCAGUGUUCACAUUACUAACUCUUUCAGCCCCAUUUAAUCUGUUUUCCUCUCCAGUCGAGCACCCCUUCCCUGCUUGCAAAUCAGAUGCAGCUGCCAUUGCUCGACUUCUUUUAUCAGCUUCAUCCUGUAUAUAAAUCUUCCUUUAUUGCUCUUUGAUUUCUGUUAUUCAUGCUCUAAUUUCCUCAUUGUUUUCCUAUACAAAUAAAUUUCUUCUUUGAAACCCUUUAAUCUCA